AUGCCUCGCACACCAGCAUGGCAGAGUCCUGGCCGGGCUGCCUGUAGGGCAGAGGGGCAAAUGAAGACUGGGACCCCUCCUUGGGCGCACACCGCCCUCCCCACCACGGGUCUGGGGGCUCACCUGCAGGUUUGGCACACUUUGCACUGGGGGCACUGCCAGCCCGAGCGCUUGCGAGGCGUCAGGGAGAUGUUCAGGCAGGCCCCGUGGAAGUGCUGCCCGCAGCUGGUGCAGAACACCAGGUCCCGCAGGUCGCCCGGCCCACUGCACACCGAGCAUUGCGCAUCCUCUGUCAGCCACGAGAGAAGGGGGUCAGGGCCGCCAGCUCAUGGGGUUCUAGCCCGCUGGGAGCAGGGCAGGAGGGUCCCAGCACCCAGGGGUGGUGUCCCCAGCCCCACACACCCGUGUCCACGGCCUCAGCCACGUGCUCAGGGCAGAGCAGCCGCAGGGUCUUCAUGGACUGGAAGCAGCCGCUGGCGGCGGCGCAGGGGAAGUGGUAGAGGCGGGAGCAGCCGGCGGCCGCCCGGCACGGGAUGGUGGCGGCCCCCCGCCCGCCCGCAGCGUUCACAUUUCUGUGAGAUCCCUGAGAAAACAGCUCUGGCCACGCCGGCCACCUCCGGCCCCGCACCAGCCGCCCAGGCCGCACACCAGUGGUGCACCCAGCAGUGCCCUGUGGGGAGGGGGAGUCAGGGACAGCUUGGGGACACCCAGGUGGCAGGAUGGGGACCCCCGUGCUGUGACCACACUCACCCGUUGGCUCGAAGAGCUGCGCUGGGGUCACCCCCUCGGAGAAGCCAAUUUGUGCCAGGCCGUCACCCGCCAGCUCUGGCUCUGGGGGGAGCUGGCUGGGCCCUGGGGGAGGCUGGCCAGGCCCAUCAGGGGGCUCGUGGCCCGUCAGCCGCUCGGGCCAGUCGGGCACCGGCUCAAAGCGCUGCAGCUCCCGCUGCCCGUGUAGGCUCCAGUCCCCACAGUUGCAGAGGGCACAGCGGCGGCCCAAUGGGCUGGGAGGGGACAACGGGGUGUCAGGGACAUUCAGGACCCCUUUGAUAGCUCCACACCACCCCUGAGUCCUCGCAGCCUCACCUGCCAGCCUCGGGAGGUCCCUCCAUGCCCGUGCUGUCCGGCUCUGGCCCCGCAGAGGCUCCUUCGGGGGGUUUCAGGGGGUCCCCCUCGGCGCUGCCCAUCUCCUCCGAGGCCAUGACCCCAUCGGCUGUGGGGACAGGGGGUGUCACCACCACAGGGGAAACAGGGCCAGGUCCCCAAAGUCCUGCACUGGCUCACCUGGCGCGGCUGCGUCUUUCUCCUCGCUGGGCACCUUCUGUUCAUCCAUCCUGCCUCCGGCGUUCCUGGGGGGCCACAGCUGUAGGGAGGGGGACACCGGUCAGCACCAGGGGUGGUGGCACC
rnacentral:lncRNA from 1 species